rnacentral:rRNA from 1 species
GCGGUUUGUCGCGUCUGCUGUGAAAGCCCGGGGCUUAACCCCGGGUGUGCAGUGGGUACGGGCAGACUAGAGUGCAGUAGGGGAGACUGGAAUUCCUGGUGUAGCGGUGAAAUGCGCAGAUAUCAGGAGGAACACCGAUGGCGAAGGCAGGUCUCUGGGCUGUUACUGACGCUGAGGAGCGAAAGCAUGGGGAGCGAACAGGAUUAGAUACCCUGGUAGUCCAUGCCGUAAACGUUGGGCACUACGUGUGGGGGACAUUCCACGUUUUCCGCGCCGUAGCUAACGCAUUAAGUGCCCCGCCUGGGGAGUACGGCCGCAAGGCUAAAACUCAAAGGAAUUGACGGGGGCCCGCACAAGCGGCGGAGCAUGCGGAUUAAUUCGAUGCAACGCGAAGAACCUUACCAAGGCUUGACAUACACCGGACCGCCCUAGAGAUAGGGUUUCCCUUCGGGGCUGGUGUACAGGUGGUGCAUGGUUGUCGUCAGCUCGUGUCGUGAGAUGUUGGGUUAAGUCCCGCAACGAGCGCAACCCUUGUCCUAUGUUGCCAGCACGUAAUGGUGGGGACUCAUGGGAGACUGCCGGGGUCAACUCGGAGGAAGGUGGGGAUGACGUCAAAUCAUCAUGCCCCUUAUGUCUUGGGCUUCACGCAUGCUACAAUGGCCGGUACAGUGGGUCGCGAUACUGUGAGGUGGAGCUAAUCCCUAAAAGCCGGUCUCAGUUCGGAUCGAAGUCUGCAACUCGACUUCGUGAAGUUGGAGUC